rnacentral:rRNA from 1 species
UACGUAGGGUGCAAGCGUUGUCCGGAAUUAUUGGGCGUAAAGAGCUCGUAGGCGGUUUGGUGAGUCGGGUGUGAAAUCUCCACGCUCAACGUGGAGGGGCCACCCGAUACUGCCAUGACUAGAGUCCGGUAGGGGAGUGUGGAAUUCCCGGUGUAGCGGUGGAAUGCGUAGAGAUCGGGAGGAACACCUGUGGCGAAGGCGGCCGACUGGGCCGACCCUGACGCUGAGGCGCGAAGGCGUGGGGAGCGAACGGG